GACAGGAUGGUGCAGUCGUUUGAGUGUUGGAUUAUAACUCUGGAGACUAGGGUUCAAAUCCCCACUCAGGCA